rnacentral:rRNA from 1 species
CCUACGGGCGGCAGCAGUGGGGAAUAUUGGACAAUGGGCGAAAGCCUGAUCCAGCCAUGCCGCGUGUGUGAAGAAGGCCUUCGGGUUGUAAAGCACUUUCAGUGGGGAAGAAAGCCUUGGGGCUAAUACCCUCGAGGAAGGACAUCACCCACAGAAGAAGCACCGGCUAACUCCGUGCCAGCAGCCGCGGUAAUACGGAGGGUGCGAGCGUUAAUCGGAAUUACUGGGCGUAAAGCGCGCGUAGGCGGUCUGAUAAGCCGGUUGUGAAAGCCCCGGGCUCAACCUGGGAACGGCAUCCGGAACUGUCAGGCUAGAGUGCAGGAGAGGAAGGUAGAAUUCCCGGUGUAGCGGUGAAAUGCGUAGAGAUCGGGAGGAAUACCAGUGGCGAAGGCGGCCUUCUGGACUGACACUGACGCUGAGGUGCGAAAGCGUGGGUAGCAAACAGGAGUAGAUACCCCAGUAGUC